ensembl:snoRNA
CCCUCCUAUAAAGACGUGUCUUGGGUUCCUUGUCUUUGGACGCGUAAGAAUCGGAGGCAGAAACAUUUUUGGAUUUGGUGACAUCUGGGCCAGCUUGCUCCCUGAAGGCUCCAGCUCAACCAUCUCACAUAA